rnacentral:lncRNA from 1 species
GCAGCAGCGUUCCUGCCCCGGCGGGGUGGACUCCUGAUUUUAGGCGGAGGGGAAAACGCCCCCCGACCGCCGCCGCACUUGCAACUUCAGAAACAGAAGUUGAGGGCCCUGGGGCGUGCGAGGCAGAGAGGAAAACUCCCUCUCGCCCUUCCUCGGUCAGUCCGCAUGGCCCUCCCCCCGUGCCCUGCCUUGCCUCCAGCCUCGUUUCCAUGUUCUCACCGGGCGGAUUUGGGCUCUGAAAGGGAGAGGAGAAGAAUGGGAGGGAAGGAGCAGGGCCGUGCCAGCUCCCUGCAGCAGUGUAGUAGCUUGGAAAUGGCGGGGUCAACGAAAACAGCUCGAGUAAGGACUGUGAUGGGAACUUUGCCCAGCUGAGAAGCAGAAGCAAGAUGAGUAAUCUACCAAAACAUGAGCAGGGAAGAACUGAUCCAAGUAUAUGACUGAAAGGAAGUGGAAGAAUUCUGCUGCCAUUGAUCCAGCAUCGAAUUCGGUUCAUUACAAGGACUAUGCAACAAUGAUGUGAUGCCUUCUACGCCAAGCACGAGGGGAGAGAGAUGAAGGCCAGGACAGAGCAGCAUCCUGCUUUUUCAUGCCUGCAUUUUCAAGACGCAGCCUUUUAACCUGAAACAUCGGUUCUGCACCUUAAGAAGUCUUCAGGUAAACAAAUUCUGGUACUUUUCAAAAACUCUGCAUGCUUGGCUGUGCCGGCUUUGCCCUGUGUUCUUAUUCUUCACAUGAAAUACCCCUGGGCUUUGUAACAUUUGUUAUUUAGGAAGCAAGUCUAAAGAUUUUGUUACCUCUUGAGAGAGUGAAAUUAAACAACAACAUCAACAACUUUCACUUUGGAAGGACGAAAUUUGCAGGCUAGUCUCUAUAACCAUGAAGUUGCCAUGUCAGCAAAAGCCCUUUGUUCACCACAGGAAGCAAUCUGGUCAGAACAACUUCCUUUCUGGCAGUUCAAUAGAACUGUUGUUUCUGAAGCUUAUCAGAUAAACCCACUACCAGAAAUCCCCACUGGCAACAAAAUAGAAGUUUUGUUUGUUUGUUUGCUUGCUUUUUUAAAAUAGGGAACUAUAGUUCUCUCAAAGUGGCUACAUUUUAUUUUAUUUGUAUUUUCUUUGUUUAUUAAAUUAGCUUGCAUUGCUCCCUAAUUUUGAUGAUAGAAUUGAACGUGGAGAACGUUAAGUAGGUGAUGCGUUGAUUCACUGAAUUAAAACUGUAUUUGUGACUUGAAGUAACUUAGGAGAGAACGAUAAAGGACUAUUUAGAAGACAUUUGCGGCUUCCCAUCCUUCAUUUUCAGUAAGAAUAAUUGGCACGGUUAGCUAACUGUGAUGCAGUCCAUAGUCUCAGCCUUGUCUGCAGUCAGGAGUUUUUCACAUACAUAAAAUUUUUUUAAACUAUAAACUGUUUAAGUGCCUUCUUAUUUUUAAUUUAGGGAUCUUUAUCCUUUCUGUAUAACCUCUUGCUCCCUACUUCAUAUUAGAAAAAAAUUCUUCUACUCAGCAAUUAUAAGCUCCAAAAAGGCAAGGCAUGACCUUUUGGGCUAUUUAAGAAUAAUGACUUAAUCUCUCAUGGAAAAAAAAAACCCAAAAACAAAAAAACCACCUCUUCUCCGGCAUUCUUUGGGGGAGAUAACUUUCUUAUUAGAAUUCCUCAAUCCCUCCCACAUUCCCCAUUCUUUUUCCUCCCCACUGGCAGCACUGAAUUUGGCAAAAAGACAAAUCGCUAUUUCUCCCUCUUUGCUUGUCUUUAAACAACGUUUCUACCCCUUAAACUUCCUCACUGCUGGCUAUAGGGUUUCUUUCACUGGAAUGACGGUAUCUUCUGGUGUUUUCUGUUUUUUCCUUUCUCUGCUUAGUGACUCACUCGUUCUCUUUAGAUCCGGUCUUGAAACAUUCCCGGGCCUGUUUUCUUUGGACUGAGCCUGACUCCCACGCAGUCUAAUUCCCUUUACACUCCCCUUAAUGUACUUGCCAAGGUUGCAAGUGUGCUUAUUUGUAUCCUUUCUGCAUUCAAAUUUUACUUCUCUUUUUCGCCUUUAAAAAGACCACGUUUUUCUUAGAAAAGGUUACCCCGUCCAUUUCCACUCUAUUUUCCAUCCUUAGAUUAGAAAUGAAGAUGAACAGAAAAAAGGGUGGUAGAUUUUUACUGUUCAGAAUUAAGGGCUCCAAGGCUUCUGUUUUCUUUAGAGCCUUGAGAAUUCGAAGUCUCCUGAGACAUGGUGGGGAGUCUCGGGCUGUCCUUCACUCUGGUGUAUGGGGACUUGUCCUCACAAGGGACUCAGACGUGUGUAAAAAGAGGAAGCAGAUUCCCAGAGGAAGUUGCAAGACAUGGAUAUAAGAAGAGUCCCUGCGGUGGCACAGUGGGUUAGGAUCUUGUGUUGUCUUUGUGGCAGUGCGGGAUCGCUCCCUAGCUUGGUGCAGUGGAUUAAGGAUCCGGCAUUGCUGCAGCUGUGGUGUAGGUUACAGCUGUGGCUUGGAGUCCAUCCCUGACCCAGGAGAAACAAAGAGAAAAGAAUGGGAGAAGAGGGGUUCCUGGGUGGCUCAGUGGGUUGCAGAUCUGACAUUGUCACGGCUGUGGCUCAGGUUGCUGCUGUCGAGUGGGUUUGAUCCCUGGCACAGGCACAGCCAAAGUGAUGUUCAUUUAGAACAGAUGUAGAAGUUGAUAUCUAUUUUUUUUUUUUUUUGUCUUUUUGGGGCCACACCUGUGGCCCAGACUAGGGCUUGAAUUGGAGCUGCAGCUGCUGGCCUAGGCCACAGCCGCAGCAAUGCAGGAUCCGAGCCAUGUCUUCAACCUACACCACAGCUCACAGCAACACCGGACCUUGAGCCACUGAGCGAGGCCAGGGAUCGAACCUGAAUGCUCAUGGAUAAUGGCUACUAGUCAGGUUCCUUAACCACUGCACCACGACAGGAACUCCCAAAAGUUGCUAGUUUGGUCUUUGUCAUUCCUACAGCUUCAUCCCUGCUUCACUCUUCUGUGAGCAUCUCCUUCCUCUAGGCUUCCUUUGGUGCCCAGCCUGGUCCGACCACCCCUCCAUACCCGAGGAUGUGGUGUGAGAUCCCGUCGCACUGUGAUUUCCUGAGUGAAGCAACAGUAGCAAAGCUGUCUUUCUCUAGAUUCCUGCAUAAGCCCUCCCCUCCGUCUGUGCCUCUGGUAACUGAGUGCGUGAUGGGUAGGUUGGGGAGAGGGACGGCCCUCUCGAGGUUGUUAGGCUGACGUGGGGCUGACACCAGGCCAAGCACUAGCUGCACUCAUUCUGGUGGCAGGCCCUGCUGGGCUGUAAACGCGCCUUCCGCGUGAAAACAAGAUGGGAAACAUCCCAGUGACAUCGUUAGGCUUUGGUCUCAGAAGCAAAACAGGUGGUGUCUGUAGAAUUCUCUUGUCAGUAAAAUUUUGGCUGGCAUAAUGGGGACAUUUUGUCCUGUCACAUAGGUGUCUGAGAAGCGUUAGGAGUUGGAACCCGAGCUCAGGUCUGCUUGACAGGUCUGUGACCUCUGUGAUCUUAGAGGGCGUUUAACCCUUCAUCUCAUAGAUGAACAUGCUUAAGGCUCAGGGAGAUUGAAAGAUCUAUCCAAGGUCCACAGCUUGUUAGCGACAGAGCGAGAGCUGCAACCCAGGGCUGUCGGCUCUCUACUCUCCAUCUAGGGCUGCCCUACAGUUCUUCUUCUUCUUCUUCUUUAUUUUUUAGGGCCGCACCUGUGAUAUAUGGAAGUUCCCAGGCUAGAGGUCAAGUCAGAGCUGCAGCUGCUGGCCUACACCACAGCCACAGCCACGCCAGAUCCAAGCCACGUCUGCAGCCUACAUCGCAGCUCAUGGCAACACCGGAUCCCUAACCCACUGAGUGGGGCCAGGGGUCGAACCUGCAUCCUCACUCAUGCUGGUUGGUUGUUUGUAACCCCCUGAGCCACAAUAAGAACUCCUGCCCUGCGGUUCUUAAGCUUGCAGUUGCUGGCUGGCCCACGAUGCCAGGAGACAAAGACCUUUGACAUGUCUUUUUAAUACAUUGUGCUUCCUAAUGUUUUCCUGGACAUUAUGGAUAAUACUUCUUCUGUCUCUCCAUAUUCUGAAUAAAAAUAUAUAAUGUGUGUUCAUUGUGGAGAAAACUUAGAAACAAAGGAGGAAGAAAAUAAUAUUUUGUAAUCUUGUUACCUAGAAAUGACUACUAUUUACAUUUUGUUGAUUUUUUUUCCUGAUCUUUUCCACAUGUAGAUGUGUGUGUGUGUGUGUGUGUGUGUGUACGUGUGUGCACGUGCUCUUAUGCAUUUACAAAAUUAGGGUUAUAUAUUUGGUAUCAGCUGGUAUCCUUUAGUUGCAGAUAACAGAAACUGACCUAGUUUCAAAUAUAAGGAAGAAAGGAAUUUCUUGGCAAGCAACAAAGUCAAAGAAACACCCAGACCUUGGAAAAAUAGUACCCAGGAAACUCAGCUGCUUUUAUCAGAAGAGAGAAUAAAUCCUGGAUAGGCCAAAAUAGCCUUGGAUAUAGAUGUCCUAAUUUUGAAAUUUAUAGUCUCAUCUUGGAUGAAUAAGUGACUAAAUUUCUUUGAAACUGAAGUCAGUUUGUUGCCAGUUCCGAGUAAUUCUCUCUUCCAGAUCAUAUUGCAUUCAAACUUCCAACUCCCUUUCCGUCCCACCCUCCUCUGUCCCUGCAGUGGCCUCUGGGAACAGAGGAGGCUCAGGCCACUGUCCUGCUGGCAGGGGACGGUAUCUGGUCCAGUGCUUUUUGGCUUUGUCUCGCCUUGGGUGAAUUUUGCCUGUGGGUCCCUGGCCCCACUGAUCUGCUGCUGAUGUAGCAUGUCCUUUAUGUUCUGGGAACGGGGAGUGCAGCACAGAGUGAUUGCUGCCAGGAGUUUGGGCAUCUUCCCCUGCUGCUGCUGAGAGCCAACUGCCCCUGGCUUAAGUGUGGGGCCUCCUUAUCCUCUGCUGUGGUCAUCCCCCCACCAGCCACAAGCCGUCCGUGUCAUUAUUCCCAGCACCCGUCUGUUUCCCAUUCCAGGAACCAUAGGGACUGUGGGGGCCGGUGGCGCUCUCAAGCACCACCCCCAUCUCUAGUCCUGACCAGCUGCCAUUCCUGCCCCUCUGCAGCCACCCUGUGUUGCCAGUGGGUACUCUGAAAGUGGCUCCUUCUGGUUUCACGGAGGAAGUGGAACAAAAGUACUUUUCUCAGAUCUUGAAACCUAUUUGGAGCACAAGUAUCCAUCUUGUAUUUAAACCCAGGGUGGUGGACAGUCCUCUCUGGGUCUGCAGUGCUGCUGCUGCUGCUGCUGGACACCCCCAAGUGGGCUCCUUUUUCACCCUACCCAGUCUCCCAUACCCUGAGCCAGGCAUCCCCAUGCGUGGGCAUUUUCCUCACCCUGCUCAGCCUCCAGCACCCCUGCCAGGCCUUCCUCUUAUUAUAGCUGCUCAUAUUCCCUAUCCUGCUGCAAAUGCCUGUCCUGCUGUUCUCCACCAAAUGGCUUUUUUGACUUAGAUGUUCUGGAAAAGAAGGGAGGAGAAAGAGGAAAGGAACAGCCAGAUCCCUCUAGAUCUCCACGGUUGCAUUGUUUACAAUUACCUCUGUAAUUCAUGGAAUAUGGUAUGAUUUAAAGAUAAUUUUACUUAUAUCAAGCCAUUAUUUACCAAAUAAUUAUUUAUAUUCCCAUAUAAAUAUUUUUUAUUCGUAUAAUAUAUAGUAUUCAAACAAAUGACAACUUUCAUUUUAUUUUAUUAUAUUUUUUACAUUUGUAAAAUGGCCUCAUCUGUGGCAUGUGGAAGUUCCCAGGCAAGGGAUCAAACCUGCCCUACCAUUGCAACCUGCACUAGCUGCAGCAACGUGCCGGAUCCGUAACCUGCUAUAACACAAGGGAACUUCUGACAAUAUUUACUUUUGAAGAAAGUGGUAGAGGAGUUCCCUGAUGGCCUAGCAGUUAAGGAUCUGGCACUGUCACACUGCUACAGCUUGGAUAAUUUCUGCUGUACAACAGUGAUUCAGUUAUAUAUAUAUAUAUACAGACAUCCAUCCACUCUUUUUCAGAUUCUUCUCCCGUAUAGAUUAUCACAGAGUAUAUGUUUUAGACUUUUGAAAGCUUCUUCUGGAAUUUGUUGGCUUUGGCUGAAACAUCUCAGGUGCUCGCUCCUUCUUCUUCUUCUUCAUUAUCUUCUUCUUCUUUUGCUUUUCAGGGCUGUGCUUGCGUCACAUAGAGGUUGCAGGCUAGAGGUCAAAUUGGAGCUGCAGCUGUCGGCCUACACCACAUCCACAGCGAAGCCGGAUCCAAGCCAUGUCUGCAACCUACACCACAGCUCAGGGCAACACCAGAUCCUUAACCCACUGAAUGAGGCCAGGGAUUGAACCUGAAUCCCCAUGGAUGCUAGUUGGAUUCUUAACCUGCUGAGCCACAGCAGGAACUCCUCAGGUGCUCACUUCUCAGACGAAGUUCAAGAGGCCGUUUCUUUUUUGUUACCAAUGAAACUCAAAAUGGAAACAAGACCCCAAAAUCCAGUUAUGUUAAGGUUGAGAAAAAGUAUUAAACCAUAUGUACGGAUGGCCAUGAGUUUAUAGGAUUGAUGUUUUAAGUCCAAGGAUAGAAAAAGGGCCUCUUAAAUGAGCAAGAGGAUACUUUUCCAUUUGUUUCUAAAGAUGGCUGGAGAGGAGUUCCCUUGUGGUGCAGCAAGUUAAGGAGCUGGCAUUGUCAUUGCAGUGGCUUGGUUGGUGCUGUGGCAUGGGUUUGAGUCCUAGCCCAGGAACUUAUAUCUGUAGGUGAGGCAAAAAAAUAAUAAUAAAGAUGAAUGGACAAAGUAUUAAUGGAUUUUUUAAAAUUAGCUCUUUAUUUUGGAAUCAUUUUAAGAUUCACA